rnacentral:rRNA from 1 species
GACGAACGCUGGCGGCGUGCUUAACACAUGCAAGUCGAACGGAAAGGCCCUGCUUUUGUGGGGUGCUCGAGUGGCGAACGGGUGAGUAACACGUGAGUAACCUGCCCUUGACUUUGGGAUAACUUCAGGAAACUGGGGCUAAUACCGGAUAGGAGCUCCUGCUGCAUGGUGGGGGUUGGAAAGUUUCGGCGGUUGGGGAUGGACUCGCGGCUUAUCAGCUUGUUGGUGGGGUAGUGGCUUACCAAGGCUUUGACGGGUAGCCGGCCUGAGAGGGUGACCGGCCACAUUGGGACUGAGAUACGGCCCAGACUCCUACGGGAGGCAGCAGUGGGGAAUAUUGCACAAUGGGCGGAAGCCUGAUGCAGCAACGCCGCGUGCGGGAUGACGGCCUUCGGAUUGUAAAGCACUUUAAGUUGGGAGGAAGGGCAGUAAGUUAAUACCUUGCUGUUUUGACGUUACCAACAGAAUAAGCACCGGCUAACUUCGUG